ensembl:lncRNA NSUN5P2 NSUN5 pseudogene 2
GGCUGUACGCUGCGGUGGCAGGCGUGCUGGCCGGCGUGGAGAGCCGCCAGGGCUCUAUCAAGGGGCUGGUGUACUCCAGCAACUUCCAGCCUCGAUGACUUACGAGCCCUCAAGGGGAAGCAUUUUCUCCUGGACCCCUUGAUGCCGGAGCUGCUGGUGUUUCCCGCCCAGACAGAUCUGCAUGAACACCCACUGUACCGGGCCGGACACCUCAUUCUGCAGGACAGGGCCAGCUGUCUCCCAGCCAUGCUGCUGGACCCCCGCCAGGCUCCCAUGUCAUGGAUGCCUGUGCCACCCCAGGCAAUAAAGACCAGUCACUUGGCUGCUCUUCUGAAGAACCAAGGGAAGAUCUUUGCCUUUGACCUGGAUGCCAGGCGGCUGGCAUCCAUGGCCACGCUGCUGGCCUGGGCUGGCGUCUCCUGCUGUGAGCUGGCUGAGGAGGACUUCCUGGCGGUCUCCCCCUUAGAUCCGCGCUAUCGUGAGGUCCACUAUGUCCUGCUGGAUCCUUCCUGCAGUGGCUCGGGUAUGCCGAGCAGACAGCUGGAGGAGCCCGGGGCAGGGACACCUAGCCCGGUGCGUCUGCAUGCCCUGGCAGGGUUCCAGCAGCGAGCCCUGUGCCACGCGCUCACUUUCCCUUCCCUGCAGCGGCUCGUCUACUCCAUGUGCUCCCUCUGCCAGGAGGAGAAUGAAGACAUGGUACAAGAUGCGCUGCAGCAGAACCCGGGCGCCUUCAGGCUAGCUCCCGCCCUGCCUGCCCGGCCCCACCGAGGCCUGAGCACGUUCCCGGGUGCCGAGCACUGCCUCCGGGCUUCCCCCAAGACCACGCUUAGCGGUGGCUUCUUCGUUGCUGUAAUUGAACGGGUCGAGAUGCCGACCUCAGCCUCACAGGCCAAAGCAUCAGCACCAGAACGCACACCCAGCCCAGCCCCAAAGAGAAAGAAGAGAGCAAAAAGCUGCAGCCGGUGCUUGCACACCGCCUUGCACAUAGCAGAGGCUCCGGGCUCACUCCUUCCUGGUGGGAAAGGAAGAUGCCUGUCCUCUCCGUGGAAGACCCUGGGCCCUCACCGCAGGCAGCAGUUUGCGUUUUGAAAGGUUAUUGGGUCCCUUCCUCGGGCUGUGUUCUUGCUGGUGAGCAAAAGUGUUGCCUGCAGAAAUAAAAUGCAGAACGUACUCUACGAUA